GACGAACGCUGGCGGCGUGCUUAACACAUGCAAGUCGAACGGAAAGGCCAUGCUUUUGUGGGGUGCUCGAGUGGCGAACGGGUGAGUAACACGUGAGUAACCUGCCCUUGACUUUGGGAUAACUUCUGGAAACUGGGGCUAAUACCGGGUAGGAUCUCCUGCUGCAUGGUGGGGGAUGGAAAGUUUCGGCGGUUGGGGAUGGACUCGCGGCUUAUCCGCUUGUUUGUGGGGUAGGGGCUUACCAAGGUUUUGACGGGUAGCCGGCCUGAGAGGGUGACCGGCCACAUUGGGACUGAGAUACGGCCCAGACUCCUACGGGAGGCAGCAGUGGGGAAUAUUGCACAAUGGGCGGAAGCCUGAUGCAGCAACGCCGCGUGCGGGAUGACGGCCUUCGGGUUGUAAACCGCUUUCGCCUGUGACGAAGCGUGAGUGACGGUAAUGGGUAAAGAAGCACCGGCUAACUACGUG
rnacentral:rRNA from 1 species